AAUAGUGCAGACUAAAUUUUGAAUUUCAAUCCUUUGAAAUUGCCAAAUGCUCUUGAUUUAAUUAAAAUAUAUUGAAUUGCCAAAGCAAAGUACACACCCUUCAUUACUAUUUUUUGAUUUUUGUUUCUCCAAUGCCAUUAUCGCUUGAUUCAAGGCAGACUCAUUUAUCAAUCUGUGUUGUUUACGAAAUUCUUCAUCAAUUCCCACUUCAACUGACACUCACAUGGGUUAUUGUUAUUAUUGCUCUGCUAUAUUUAUUUUGAUUGGUGAAUCUUGCCGCCCAUACAAUCAGAAUGACUUGAGAUUUCUACUAUAAAUAUAAAUAAGAUGUUGUUUUGGUCCAAAUCAUCAACACUCUCAAUUUUGAUAUUGUUGUUUUAUUCACUAAUAACCUUUACUUUGUUUCAGCGUGAUUCUCAACUGCCCGUGGCGGAAGGAACAGGGAUGGGAUCACUGGAGAUGGGGCUUCUAUGGGUUUUGGCAACGAUUCCGAUAGUGGAGGCCAUGGACAUUGGAGAUGAGGAUUGAAUCAGAGAGAUUGGAGGUUUGUUUAACAGUGGAGCUUUCUUAAGUAGAGAACAUUGAUUCAUGGUGGGGAGGAUCUAGAUGUGGCUUGAAGUCAUAUAACACAGUGAAGAGGUUACUAGCCAAGAAUUGAAGAAAUCGUGAGUUAUAAACAAGGUUCUCGAGUUCUUGAUUAUGUAUGCUAAGGCUUCUUGCUUUAUUUAUUGGUUGUUUCAUUCAUCUCCCAGGUUGUACUCUACAACAUGCCUUCUUGCAUAAUCCAGGUUCUAAAUGUUACCAUUGAAAGGGAAGUUGAUCUUGAAUAUUAGAGCUUUUGAAAGACGGGAGUUUUACUGUUGGAUGUGGAUAUCAUGCGAUUUGGUUUAGCCACCAUCUCAAUUUUGACCCCAUGAUACUGAUGAGCAUGUGAGGGUUAAUGUUUCAUUAGAGGAUUAUUCAGAAAAAUGUCAAAGUUACUCUUUACAAUUGGAAACACUUGCAGAUGGCAAGAGGAUUAUCAAGGAGGGGCUAGCCCCAUAUGGUUAGAAAUUGGCUAUUCUCAAAAUGGUUGUGCAGGACUUGAAGUAGAAACCAGAAACAAAGAAGAAAAGCAAUAGGGGAAAUGAGAUUGAAUAUGAAAUAGUUUAGAUGCA